UGUUAUCAUACUGGAAAUUCACUCUUUGAGUGCUGGAGCAAUUCAUCCCAUGCAGCACUGAAAGGAUAUAUCUGUUCCUGUGUAACUGAGGAAAGAGCUAGACUAUAAGUCUACUCUUAAACUCUCUAUGCUUAUAGCAAAUAGGGUGGGCAUAUUUCAUGGUUCAUAUCUAAAAAACAUAUUUAACCCCUUAAGGACCGGACUGUUUUUGCGAUGUUGUACAUUUGCGACCAGGCAUAUUUUUACACUUUUGUGGUGUUUGUGUUGUAAUUUUCCGCUCUCUCAUUUACUGUUCCCAUACAAAUUAUAUAUUGUUUUUUUCAGGACAAAAGGGGCUUUCUUUA